rnacentral:misc_RNA from 1 species
GAUGAGAACGUAGCAAAAUGCGAUAAGUAAUGUGAAUUGCAGAAUUCAGUGAAUCAUCGAAUCUUUGAACGCACAUUGCGCCCCUUGGUAUUCCAUGGGGCAUGCCUGUUCGAGCGUCAUUUGUACCUUCAAGCUUUGCUUGGUGUUGGGUGUUUGUCUCGCCUUUGCGUGUAGACUCGCCUUAAAAUAAUUGGCAGCCGGCGUAUUGAUUUCGGAGCGCAGUACAUCUCGCGCUUUGCACUCAUAACGACAGCGUCCAAAAGUACAUUUUACACUCUUGACCUCGGAUCAGGUAGGGAUACCCGCUGAACUUAAGCAUAUCAAUAAGCGGAGGA